UGGGGAAUAUUGGACAAUGGGCGCAAGCCUGAUCCAGCAAUGCCGCGUGAGUGAUGAAGGCCUUAGGGUUGUAAAGCUCUUUCGCACGCGACGAUGAUGACGGUAGCGUGAGAAGAAGCCCCCGGCUAACUUCGUGCCAGCAGCCGCGGUAAUACGAAGGGGGCUAGCGUUGUUCGGAAUUACUGGGCGUAAAGGGCGCGUAGGCGGCCUGUUUAGUCAGAAGUGAAAGCCCCGGGCUCAACCUGGGAAUAGCUUUUGAUACUGGCAGGCUUGAGUUCCGGAGAGGAUGGUGGAAUUCCCAGUGUAGAGGUGAAAUUCGUAGAUAUUGGGAAGAACACCGGUGGCGAAGGCGGCCAUCUGGACGGACACUGACGCUGAGGCGCGAAAGCGUGGGGAGCAAACAGGAUUAGAUACCCUGUAGUCCACGCCGUAAACGAUGGAAUGCUAGACGUCGGGGUGCAUGNACUUCGGUGUCGCCGCUAACGCAUUAAGCAUUCCGCCUGGGGAGUACGGCCGCAAGGUUAAAACUC
rnacentral:rRNA from 1 species